CAGUAGUUCAGAUGGUUAGAACGCCGGCCUGUCACGCCGGAGGUCGAGGGUUCAAGUCCCUUCUGG
rnacentral:tRNA from 1 species